rnacentral:misc_RNA from 1 species
UUUCCGUAGGUGAACCUGCGGAAGGAUCAUUACUGAGUGAGGGCCCUCUGGGUCCAACCUCCCACCCGUGUUUAUUAUACCUUGUUGCUUCGGUGGGCCCGCCUCACGGCCGCCGGGGGGCAUCUGCCCCCGGGCCCGCGCCCACCGAAGACACCUAGAACUCUGUAUGAAGAUUGCAGUCUGAGCAAAAACUAAAUAAGUUAAAACUUUCAACAACGGAUCUCUUGGUUCCGGCAUCGAUGAAGGAACGCAGC